rnacentral:lncRNA from 1 species
CUAAAGUUUAAAACUAAACAAAAUAUGCAAAAUUGGUGAUUCUAUUUCUCAAAUUUUGGUACUAAGGACUCUUUUAAGAUAUAUAAUAUUCGAAAGUUGAUUGAAGCAACAUGUUGCCGAAGCAACAUGUUGCCAAAGCAACAUCUCUUGUGGAAAUUGAUUAACUUAGAAUAUUAAAAGGUGUUUGUGCAUGUGUUAUUCAUGGGAAUAUUGGUCGGCUCAAAGGAAGGAAGGUUAAUAUUUAGCAGAAUACACGUGCACUUGUGGUGAUAAACGUGUGAUAAUUAUUUGAUUUAAUGUGUAAUCAAUAAAUCGGUCCAAAGAAAGGUUUAUUGAUUGACACGUUGUUUUAUCAUCAAUGUUUGAUCACUACGCCAAGAGUACCGCUUACAAGUCAAUAUCUCUGUCCAAAUACUAGAUAUUGAUGUUGUGCUUGGUAUCUUGUGAUGGGCUCUACCAUUAUUUGAGAAUAUUAUUAUUUGCAUAUUAAAGAUAUUCAUGCGAGCUAUUCAUAAUAAUCAUUCUCUGAUUCAGUUUCAGGUUUUGCUGUUAAUAUCUCUGCUAGCAUCAAUUCAAUUCCAAUGCUAAAUGGCACAAACUUCAAGGAGUGACAAGAGAACGUGAGGAUUGUUCUCGGAGUCAUGGACCUGGACCUUACUUUACGGGUCAAUCAACCUGCUGCACUAAUUGAUAAGAGUACCUCUAAUGACAAGAGGGAGAUGGAGAAGUGGGAACGAUCGAACCGUAUAAGCUUAAUGGUCAUGAAGCGUGCUAUUCUAGAAGCAUUCCGGGGCACUAUGUCCGAUAAAGUGACUACGACUAAGGGUUUCCUUAAGGACCGUGAGAAGAGGUUUGUCAAGAAUGAAAAGGCUGAAACAAGUACAAUUUUGGCAAACCUUAUCUCAAUGAGGUAUAAAGGGAAAUGAAACAUUUGGGAGUAUAUUAUGGAAAUGUCUUAAAUUGCUUCAAAACUAAAGGCACUCAAGUUGGAUUUAUCUGAAGACUUGUUGGUGCACUUGGUUCGAUAUCCCUUUCGGCACUUUCAGUCAAUUCAAGGUGAGCUACAACUGUCAAAAGGACUCAUGGUCCCUUAAUGAACUCAUCUCACACAGUGUCCAGGAAGAUGAAAGAUUGAAGCAUGAGAAGAUAAAAAGUACUCAUUUAACCAGCACCUCUAAGGACAAAAGGAACAAGAAAAUGAAGAUUAAUAAGGAAGCUGUGGACACAGCACCACAAAAGAAACAACAUAAGGAACCAACUGAAGGUGGAUGUUUCUUCUGUAGAACUGUAGGUUAUAAAAAGAAGAAUUGCACCAAUUACCAUGCAUGACGUGUAAAGAAAGGUAUUCUUUUUCAUUUGCUUUGUUCUGAGAUUAAUUUAACUUCAGUACCUAGAUAUACAUGGUGGAUUGAUUCUGGUGCAACAACUCACAUCAAUAUGUCUAUGUAGAGUUGCCUGAGUUGUCGAAAACCAAGUGAUAGUGAAAGAUACAUCUAUGCUGGCGACGGCAAGAAGGUGGAAGUAGAGGCAAUAGGGAAAUUUAGAUUAUUGUUAAAGACUGAAUUUUAUUUGGAUUUUGUUGAGACAUUUAUUGUACCGUCUUUUAGACAAAAUUUGAUUUCUAUUUCUGUUUUGGAC